UUAUUUUGUACACCCUCCUUGUGUUACACAAAAACACAAAUAUACACACACACACACAGAGACACACAAGAGCAAAUUAUUUAUUACAAAGUCAAUAAGUCUAAAUUGCUAUAUUUUCCGCAGUUUUUGUUGUUUAAAUCUAGUUUUUGCUGAAAGCUUAAGUGAACUUAAAAUCUAAAAUUAAUAGGGACUAAUUUUAUCAUCAUAUUCUAGUUUCUUUUGCGCGGUACAGUCAGAAAUCAAUUGUUUCCUUAAAAUCAAAAAGUGCAAACUGCAGUUAACUGCGAUUAACUAAGAUGGCCAUCGGAUGGGUAAAAAGAAAACUUUAGAGUUUAAGUUUUAGAAAUCGGUUUAGGCGCGAUUAGAAUUGUGCCCAAACCGAUUUUCGAAACAAAAUUUCAAAUUAAAAAAAAAAAAAACUGUUAAACGUUAUACGAGUUUUAAACGAUCAAUCAGAAAAAAAUAUUUAUAUUAAAAUCGAUCGUUUGAAAGGCGUAUGUGUUCGACUCGGGUAGCUAGACGUUAUCCGCGCCGUAACACGAAAUAGAGCGGGAUAAAAAAAAAAAAAACAAUUUUAGAUGAACAAAACAAUAAAAAUAUAUAUAUA
rnacentral:sRNA from 1 species